rnacentral:rRNA from 1 species
UGGGGAAUAUUGCACAAUGGGCGCAAGCCUGAUGCAGCCAUGCCGCGUGUGUGAAGAAGGCCUUCGGGUUGUAAAGCACUUUCAGCGGGGAGGAAGGCGUUAAGGUUAAUAACCUUGGCGAUUGACGUUACCCGCAGAAGAAGCACCGGCUAACUCCGUGCCAGCAGCCGCGGUAAUACGGAGGGUGCAAGCGUUAAUCGGAAUUACUGGGCGUAAAGCGCACGCAGGCGGUCUGUCAAGUCGGAUGUGAAAUCCCCGGGCUCAACCUGGGAACUGCAUUCGAAACUGGCAGGCUAGAGUCUUGUAGAGGGGGGUAGAAUUCCAGGUGUAGCGGUGAAAUGCGUAGAGAUCUGGAGGAAUACCGGUGGCGAAGGCGGCCUCCUGGACAAAGACUGACGCUCAGGUGCGAAAGCGUGGGGAGCAAACAGG